rnacentral:lncRNA from 10 species
GUAGGAUGUAAGGAAAAGAGUACAGCUAGAGAUCAUGAAGGUUCGGGCUUAAAUAAAUGAGAAAUGGAGCUACUUUUAUGGAGCAACCUUGAGGGUAAAGAUAAUCAGGAGUUUGAUUUUGAAGAAUGUUAAUUUCAAGAUACUAAUGAGACACCCAAGUAGAGAUGUCAAGAAGGCAGUUGGAUAUGCAAGCCCAGAGUUCAACUGAGACGUCUGGCUUAGAGCUAGAAAUUUGGGAUCCAUCUGCAUAGAUUUGGUAUGAAAACCUAUAAAAUUUGACAAAAUCUUCUGGAGAAUGAGUGCAGAUGGGAAAGAAUCAACAUAAGGAACUGAGCUUGGGGCACUCCAACAUUUAAGGGUUGGGGAGAUGAGGAGGAGAGACCAGUAAGGAAAGCAAAGAACCAAGAAAGAAUAGUCCAUGGAGAAAAAAGUAUUUCAAGAAGUGAAGGAUACACUGUAUCAAAUACUACUGACAGGAUGACUAAACUGAAGAUUAGUAAUUGGCCACCGGAUUUGGUAAGAUGAGGAUCACUGGUGAUCUUGAUGUAAGUUGGUUUAAAAAAAUUUUUUUUUGAGACAGAAUCUCGCUCUGUUGCCCAGGCUGGAGUGCAGUGGCACGAACACAGCUCAUUGAAGCUUUGACCUCUUGGGCUUAGGCGAUCCUUCUGCCUCAGCCUUCCCGGUAGCUGGGGUCAUAGGUGGAACACAGUGAAAUGGGAGGCCACCUCCUGUCAAAGCUGGGACAUCUGAGAGACAGUGGUCACACAACAACUCAACUGCAUGUGCACCUAAAACAGUAGCUUAUUUUCUCUGACUGUUUCUUCUUCUUCUUCUUCUACUCCUUAUUCUUAUUCUUCUUUCUGAUUUACCAACCUACUGGGUAUCAGUGCAAAAAAUUAUUUUACUUGCGAAUUAAUGAUAUCACCACGUUUUCUUGCUUAAACUGUCUUUUUAGGUUAGCUCAGCUACUCUGGGCUAAACAUUCAGUCUUUCAGAUAUACUCCACUUACCUUAGCUCCUCCCAUGGUGGUUCCGGGGUUGGAGAGGCUUACGUGACCUUAUGGUAGCAGGGCAGAGGCAGGGCUAUGCUGCUCAUGGGGCAUUCUGUAAAAGUAAGAUGUGUCUUCCUUAUGAUACCUUCCUUCCAGUUGUUGGAAAGUUGUCGUGCUGCUUUUAUUAGAGCAAGCAUCUUGUUGCCAUAUGCUUUAAAAUGGACAUAAUAAAUGUGCAAAUCUUCAAUGUCUGUUAAAUGAAUGGUGCCCUCUUAGACAUGGAUUUCUUGUGCAACACUCAACCUGCACAACUGUAUGCCAGUCUCUAUUUUUGUACCACAGUAAAGUGCAUGCAUAAGGCUGAAUAUGGGGUUUUCCCCAGAGGCUUGCAGCUAUCUUCAGGAAAAGCAGACUAUUGGCAUUGACCAUCCUGGCAACUCUGGAAAUUCUAUUGAUCUCAGGCCAUGAGGAUCAACAUUUGUCUCCGACAUCCUCAUUUUAACUCUUCUUUGCCUCCUCCCCUUAGACCACUGCGGUCAGGAGCCCAGGCUUUUUCAUUUCCCUGAAUAAUAGAAGCUUCGUUUACAUCAUGAUUGGUUCUCACUACCCCCUGGCAUAGAGAAAACUCCAAUUUUAAGUCAGCCAGGCCUACUUCUUGAUAUGAGAUGGGAGCCUAAGAGGUUUAAAAAGUUCUUUUAUUUCCCCAUAGUGUCUGGCUUUUGAGACUCCACUCACUAGUGACUCACAAACAAUGCUGACUUGCUUUUUCUAGCUAAAGUUUACCCUUUUCCUGAAGCAUAAAACACACUGUUUCUGUGUGUAGGCCCCACAGGGCAGCAGUGUUUUCUGGAUUUGAAAAAUUUAACAGAAAAGCUCUCAAAAAAUUGUAUUAUUUUAUCUGUCUUUUGUGGCAGUUUAUUGAAAGCUAUAAGAGGAAGCCAAAAACCACCAACAUUUUGAAUUUUUCCUUCCAAAGUCUUGAUUCCAGACCCUUGGUGGACAUUAUCUGAGUCUCGGGAUAUAGCAGGAAAUAGUUUAACCAGAGAUUUUGCUACCACUUAACAUGGGUUACUAACAUCACAAGCUAGCUCUAUCUUGGCAUUGCCUUCUCCACUGCAGCUCUUCAGCUCUGCCUAUUCAACAGUCUGGAGUCUGUAACAUCACCCUCACUUCCAUGUUCCAAAUUCCAUUAGGAUCCUUCAGGAUUCAAGGAACAAAAAUACCAGAUUCACAUUAAAAUAAUAAGGAAGUGUAUUUGGUUCAUGUACCUGCAAUAUUCAAGACUCUCUGUAUCUUUAGGACACAGCUCCAGUGUUGUGUGAUUCCCUGAGCUCUCCUUUUUCCCAUGCAUUGGCUAUUUCAUGUUAACAAAAUGGCCACAAGGAUUCCAGGCAUCUCAUUCACAUACCACCACAUCCAGAUUAAAAGAAAGAGUCUUUGUCCCAGAAUCUAAGCAAGUUCGGUCACAUGCCCACCACUGAACCAAUCACUGUGGCUUUGAUUGACUUAUUUAGGUACUACGUGCUCCAUUGCUAAAGCCAAGAACCAUGUAGGUCUGGAUGUCAGGCAUUCCUAAAAAGAGGCAGCUCUGAAGUGUCAGCUGAAACAUUAUGAGAUGUUACAUUUAGAAUGGAGAGUUGAUUUCUCAUAAAGGGUUACAGCCUG